rnacentral:rRNA from 1 species
AUGAUUCCAGGACCUGGAAUCAUACCAGCCGAUGGGGAUCAGGAUCUGAUCGAGCACCUUGAGGCCAAAGUGAGUGCUGACAGCGCGAGAUCUCACCCUCUCAUCGAUUUGUUCAUACCAACCAUCGAUAGCGAGCACGGCAUAUGCUACACCCAUCCUGAGAAACUUCCAGGUAGCACACUGAGUGGCCUAAGCAAGCAUUUCUUCCAACGCAAUUCCAGGGUGUUCAAAAGGGGCACGUGGAUGCAUCACAAGAUACAGUCGGAGUGCGGCAUGCACGCGAUGUGGCACAACACCGGCAAUACCUUGCCGGUGAUGGUCAAUGGCCGGCAGACGGACAACAAAAAGGUUCUGGUGCUGCACACCAACAAGAACUUCGACCAACAGAGGACCAACUGGGUGAUGCACCAGUACCACCUUGGGGACCUGGAGCAAGAGAAGGAGCGGGAGCUGGCCUCUGCAAGAUUUUCUACCAGACGAACACUAGGGCCAGGACUAAAAAGAUUAUAA